AUUGAACGCUGGCGGCAUGCUUUACACAUGCAAGUCGAACGGCAGCGCGGGCUUCUGCCUGGCGUCGAGUUGCGAACGGGUGAGUAAUGCAUCGGAACGUGCCCAGUAGUUGGGGAUAGGCCGACUAAAGCCGGAUUAAUACCGCAUACGACCUGAGGUUGAAAGCGGGGGUCCGAAAGUGCUCGCGCUAUUUGAGCGGCCCAUGUCGGGGUAGCGCGUUGGUGUGGUAAACGGUUACCAAGGCGACGAUCCGUAGCUGGUCUGAGAGGACGACCAGCCAAAAUGGGAAUGAGGCACGGCCCAGACUCCUAAGGGAGGGCGGAGGGGGGAAUUUUGGAGAAUGGGGGCAACCCUGAACCAGCCAUGCCGCGUGCAGGAAGAAGGGCCUCGGGUUGUAAAACGCUUGUGAUCGGGAAGGAAUACUCUGGGAUAAUACCCCGGGGGGAUGACGGUACCGUAAGCAUAAGCACAGGCUAACUACGUG
rnacentral:rRNA from 1 species